rnacentral:rRNA from 1 species
CCUACGGGAGGCUGCAGUGAGGAAUAUUGGUCAAUGGGCGCGAGCCUGAACCAGCCAAGUAGCGUGAAGGAGGACUGCCCUGCGGGUUGUAAACUUCUUUUAUAAGGGAAUAAAGUGAGGCACGUGUGCCUUGUUGUAUGUACUUUAUGAAUAAGGAUCGGCUAACUCCGUGCCAGCAGCCGCGGUAAUACGGAGGAUCCGAGCGUUAUCCGGAUUUAUUGGGUUUAAAGGGUGCGUAGAUGGGUUGUUAAGUCAGUUGUCAAAGUUUGCGGCUCAACCGUAAAAUUGCAAUUGAUACUGGCAGCCUCGAGUAGAGUUGAGGUAGGCGGAAUGCGUGGUGUAGCGGUGAAAUGCUUAGAUAUCACGAAGAACUCCGAUUGCGAAGGCAGCAUACUAAACUGCCACUGACAUUGAUGCUCGAAAGUGUGGGUAUCAAACAGGAUUAGAUACCCGAGUAGUC